rnacentral:lncRNA from 1 species
CACACACACACACACACACACACACACACACACAGAGAACACCAUGUGAAGAUGAAGGCAGAGGCAGAGAUGGGGAUAUUAAUGCUGAGAAAAAACUAACUUUAGUGCAACACACAGAAACAGCAUCAACUAUAAAGUUCUGGACAAAGAAAAAUGUAAUUUCUCCCACACCGAAGCCUUGGUUCCACUCAGGAUUGGGCAUCAUCAUAGACUUACCUCCUUGGAAGAGGAGAAGAGCUACUUAGUAACUCUCUUGAGAAAAAUCUCAGAUACCCUAAUCUGUUUUACGAGUGUCAGCUUGUUAAAGUUGCAAAACUUAAAAGUUACUUGACUAUUGAAGGGGAUUGAUGCUACCAGUGGGUCACUCUCAGUCCUCCUGGAUCCACAGUGUUGUACUAUGCUCAGUGACCAGCACAAGAAUCCAGUCCAGCCACAAGUCUGCUCUUAUAUGCUUCUCCAGCACUGACUGUAUUUAUGGAAAAUGUGGCUUUGGCUUCAGGAUGGUGAACUGAGAGGGCCAACCCACAUACACAGUAAAAAAUAAAAUUUAUUU